UUCUAAAAUUUAUAAUAGAAUUUUAUUUUUUAGUCAAAAAGCUAAAAUAAUAUUAAAAGACGAGAAGACCCUAUAAAUCUUUAUACAUAGAUUAUUAGAAUUUCAUAGAUUUUUUUUGUUAUAAUAAUUAAUUGUAUUUUAUUGGGGUGAUAUUAAAAUUUAAUAAACUUUUAAUUUUAAAAAUCAUUAAUUUAUGAAUAAUUGAUCCGUUAAUAACGAUUAGAAAAAUAAGUUACCUUAGGGAUAACAG
rnacentral:rRNA from 1 species